GACGAACGCUGGCGGCGUGCUUAACACAUGCAAGUCGAACGGAAAGGCCCUGCUUUUGUGGGGUGCUCGAGUGGCGAACGGGUGAGUAACACGUGAGUAACCUGCCCUUGACUUUGGGAUAACUUCAGGAAACUGGGGCUAAUACCGGAUAGGAGCUCCUGCUGCAUGGUGGGGGUUGGAAAGUUUCGGCGGUUGGGGAUGGACUCGCGGCUUAUCAGCUUGUUGGUGGGGUAGUGGCUUACCAAGGCUUUGACGGGUAGCCGGCCUGAGAGGGUGACCGGCCACAUUGGGGCUGGGGUGACGGCCCGGAUCCUACGGGGGGGAAGCGUGGGGGAUUAUGCACAAUGGGCGGAAGCCUGAUGCAGCAACGCCGCGUGCGGGAUGACGGCCUUCGGGUUGUAAACCGCUUUCGCCUGUGACGAAGCGUGAGUGACGGUAAUGGGUAAAGAAGCACCGGCUAACUACGUG
rnacentral:rRNA from 1 species